GAAAACUGAACAACGCUGCCCCAACAUCCAAACUUCCAUUAACCAAGGACAUGUGCAAAACUCGAACCUGCAACAAACAAUAAUUCCACAACCAACAAUGAUCAGAAUGACCAACGAUCGAGAAUGCAUUGAGAACUAACUUAAUGAUCCAAUACACUACUGAAGAAAGCCCAUGUGGAACUAAACAUACCAACUUUGAAGCAGAUUGACAGAUUAACAACUACCCAUCCUAGACUAUAAAUAACAAUCUAUGAAACGAACUGAAAAAUACCUCAACAACCGAUACUCAACCCGCGCGACCCAAAUGCAUCUUGAUGUAUUCUUCGAUGUUCCCGUCUUGACCAAAUCCCUAACCAAAGUCUUGUAUACCUGAACUGCAGAUUCAUAUGACCCAUUAUUCCGAAACCAUAAACUCGAACAGCUCGAUGAUCCUCCAAGCAGAGUACCUAGUUCUCCCCUACUUAGUGUUUGAACUACCACCAACUGGUGUUGCAAGAAGACUAAAUCUCAAACCGACUCACCCACAUACAUACCAUCCUUGACCCUUGGAAUGUAUAACACAACAUAAGAUGAUCUUCUAGAUAGAAUCCAACCAAACUCAAAGAGAUUUCGAAUCUCAAACGGAGACCCCAGAACUUCCCAAGCAUAACCACCCCUAUCAUCAUGAAUCUCAUGCAGAUGCACAAGCAAUAAUGAUGACAGUCCAUUCAUAGCACCGAUUCUCUAUCUAGGAACAAGUGGACUGCCACACACAUCGCCUAUAAAUCCCACUCAUCACUUCAUCAUAGGAAUCAUUUAUAUACACAAGAGGCAUCAGUCUCAAGAUCAGGAUAAAUUAGAGCCAACAAACUUGUCAUUCCCGAUUCACAUCCCCCGAUCACCUGAAAAAAUCAACUAGCAACUAAAUUAACUAAAUUCAAAGAAACCAAACCCUUAAUCUCAUCUUAAGGCCACUGUACGAAGGUGGAAGAGUAUAACACCCAUCAAAUAUAGUGACAUCCCACUCCAUCUGCCAAUCACUCGGCCUUUGGUUGCUAUCCUCGAGCCAAUCUUCACAAUCACUUCCUUCUUGAGUCAUGUGACUCAUCCGACACUACCUCGAGCAAGGCCCCCUUGAGACCUCAAAAUGAACUAACUUAGGUAGGUAUGCACCAAUCAGUCUCGAACCAACAUGGCCACUAAGGCCCAACCAAUCACGAGACCCAUCCUCAGUUUGAACAACCAUAACCGAGAAACUGAUAAGGAUGGAAAUACACUACAAUGUAUCAUGGUGCUAAACCAUACCAUUUACCCUCAAGCAGCUUCUUAGAAUCAUCAAAAUUUUCCGCGAUUCAAGUACUAAGCAUGUGCUUUCAGUAGUACGGGCCCAAUACUACCUUCCACAUCUAUCCAUACUUUUCUCAAGAAUAAUUUUGGAUCCUUUAGGUAAAUACUCAUUUCAACUAUCGUCCAAUCCAAUCAUAUACCCGAUCUCAAAUUAAUACACGUCGCUAAAUUGUGUACCAAUCCCUCUAAGGCACUUUCUAGGCUCUCCUAGGAUUCCCACCUCACCCUGCCACCAGCUACUGAAGAACCACUACUUCAAGAGUACAAUUACAUGCAACAAAACUUAAAUAAUCUUUCGAAUCAAAGACCUAACCCUACAACGGUUAGACUCAAAUGAGAGUUGCACAAUAGGUCCAAAUCAAUUAUUCUAGAAUUAUUUAACCUUUACCGUAUGUAACUUAACAUAUUCAUUUAAUAGUUAGCUGUCAUCAAUAUGGGUUCCACAAACCACAAAUCAAGCAGCAUUCGGAAAAUAACACUCUAUAGGCCACAAAACAUAAAAAGCCAUCCUCCAACUAACUUACUUCUGUGAUGCUAGGAACUUCUACCAGCACUGCUAAUUGCCUUAUGCAUGCAAGUUAUACACAAUACAAGAUCAAAUAGACCGUUGAAUAAAUGAUUCUACUCCAGGACUACAACCAGAUGAGGAAUAGGAAACAAGGCUAAAUUAGUCAUUCUAGGGUUGUAUGAUCCUAACCGUAUACAAAUUUUCAAACAUACAAUUAGCAAUCAAUUCCACAAACUUAGAUUCCAAAACUAACAUAGCAUCCAGUUCCUCCUAUGCUACAAGACAUCACGAAUCAGGGUACUCUAUCAUGCAAUUCCUGAAGGUAUCCUUAGCCUUAUUCUAGCAUGCAAACAUUCCAUACCAUAUAACAUAUCAACAUGUAUGGGUAUUUUGGGAAUCACUAACUUGAUCUCGGCUGAUUGCAUGC
rnacentral:lncRNA from 1 species